rnacentral:rRNA from 1 species
CUCCUUCCCAUUCCGAACAGGAAAGUUAAGCUCUAUAACGCCGAUGGUACUGCAUGGGAGACUGUGUGGGAGAGUAGGAAGUUGCCAAGUG